rnacentral:rRNA from 1 species
GACGAACGCUGGCGGCGUGCUUAACACAUACAAGUCGAACGGAAAGGCCCUGCUUGCAGGGUACUCGAGUGGCGAACGGGUGAGUAACACGUGGGUGAUCUGCCCUGCACUUCGGGAUAAGCCUGGGAAACUGGGUCUAAUACCGGAUAGGAGCCAUUUUUAGUGUGAUGGUUGGAAAGUUUUUUCGGUGUAGGAUGAGCUCGCGGCCUAUCAGCUUGUUGGUGGGGUAAUGGCCUACCAAGGCGGCGACGGGUAGCCGGCCUGAGAGGGUGGACGGCCACAUUGGGACUGAGAUACGGCCCAGACUCCUACGGGAGGCAGCAGUGGGGAAGAUUGCACAAUGGGCGCAAGCCUGAUGCAGCGACGCCGCGUGGGGGAUGACGGCCUUCGGGUUGUAAACUCCUUUCGCUAGGGACGAAGCUUUUUGUGACGGUACCUAGAUAAGAAGCACCGGCUAACUACGUG